UACACUCCUACGGGAGGCAGCAGUGGGGAAUAUUGCACAAUGGGCGCAAGCCUGAUGCAGCCAUGCCGCGUGUAUGAAGAAGGCCUUCGGGUUGUAAAGUACUUUCAGCGGGGAGGAAGGCAAUACGGUUAAUAACCGUGUUGAUUGACGUUACCCGCAGAAGAAGCACCGGCUAACUCCGUGCCAGCAGCCGCGGUAAUACGGAGGGUGCAAGCGUUAAUCGGAAUUACUGGGCGUAAAGCGCACGCAGGCGGUCUGUCAAGUCGGAUGUGAAAUCCCCGGGCUCAACCUGGGAACUGCAUUCGAAACUGGCAGGCUUGAGUCUUGUAGAGGGGGGUAGAAUUCCAGGUGUAGCGGUGAAAUGCGUAGAGAUCUGGAGGAAUACCGGUGGCGAAGGCGGCCCCCUGGACAAAGACUGACGCUCAGGUGCGAAAGCGUGGGGAGCAAACAGGAUUAGAAACCCCGGUAGUCCCAUGAU
rnacentral:rRNA from 1 species